rnacentral:rRNA from 1 species
AUGCCAAACUUCCAAUCAAAUUCAUGUAAAAUUAUUCCAUUUAAAACUAUCUCAAAUUUUAAAUUUGAUAAUUUAUGGAAUACACUUUUGAUAAGUUACCAAUACAGUUUCUCCAUCCAGCUUCCUUUGCCACAAAAUAUACCUAACAUGCCAAAUAAUUCAAUUAUAGAAAAUUCGAAAAACAAAGUACUAUUAUUGGAUUUUGUAAUAUACCUGAGAUUCUACAACUUACUGAAAUUUCAUAAAACCAAAUAUAUAGAUGAAAAUCACUGUAAAUACGACACCACCGUCUCAUCAAAAUAA